rnacentral:rRNA from 1 species
AGCGAACGCUGGCGGCAUGCUUAACACAUGCAAGUCGCACGAAGGUUUCGGCCUUAGUGGCGGACGGGUGAGUAACGCGUAGGAAUCUAUCCAUGGGUGGGGGAUAACUCUGGGAAACUGGAGCUAAUACCGCAUGAUACCUGAGGGUCAAAGGCGCAAGUCGCCUGUGGAGGAGCCUGCGUUCGAUUAGCUUGUUGGUGGGGUAAUGGCCUACCAAGGCAAUGAUGCGUAGCCGACCUGAGAGGGUAAUCGGCCACAUUGGGACUGAGA